UCGUUGAGAGAAGGAGCACAUGAGCUUCCGUGCCUUCCAAGCAUGUACUCGUAGGAGCAAGAAAAUUAGGCCUGGGACAAGUUCAUGCUCACAGAGAGCAUCCAUUCAACGUUGGGCCUGACUUCCUGGAUCUUGUGAUCUAAGCCUGUGGCCAUAAGUGCUCGGUGUGCACCUCGAAGAGACACACGGCUAGGAAUAAACAGCAAAUCGCUCUAUUACGAGUGUCAGAAUAGAGGGUAGGCGAUUGCCCAGAUUACCUGAACAACAAGACUUCAAAACGAAACAAAACUAAACAAAACAAAACGGAACGAAUCGAAACGAAACGAAACGAAACGAAAGGUGCACAACAGAUGAUGAUCGGUCUCCCGCUAAAUACAAAGUGUCACCAGUCAAGCACAGAAAAAACACUUGCUAACCUAGGCUCCAUUGCCUUAAACUUUGUUCAUCAGUUAAGACAAGAGUUAAGUCCAUCUUGUGGAGAGAAAGAAGGAUGGGAAAAGUUUCUUAGGCGUGAAUGUCAAAACAAAAUUAUGUCAUCAAGGCUCCUGGUGUAGUUUCCUUUUGUGGGAUGAUUUUAAUCUGGUUUUGGAAGAAUAUGUUUCUGGGGUGAUGGCUUUUAGAGAAUAUGUGACCUGUGGCUACCAGGUAAUCUUCUUACACACAGAGAGUGCUGUCUUGGGUGGUAUAAAAAGGCUGAGAGAAGAAACAAACAAACAAACAAAACAAACAAACAAACAAUGUUCUUGGCGCCAGCACGUUUCCAUCCACCAAAUGUGCACAUGUGGAGAUGUGGAUAUGGAGAUGUGGGUGAUUCAGCAACCCUCUCUCGGUCAAAGGGAGUGCCUCCCCUUCCCCAAUAAGUGAAACUUUAUUCCCUUAGAGAAAAGUGGUGAGUAGGCCCCACCCCACCCCCAACCCUGCCAAUUCCUCACUCAGCCUUCCACAGUUAACGCUGUAGGGUCCAUGCUGACCUUGGCAGACUGUAAGGACAGAGUUGACUGGGCCCACCGAGGUGGGAGUUCUGGGGGUCUCCGGUGGAGUGGUGGAGUAUUGGAUGGGUUGAGAUUGGGGUCGAGGGGUGCGAGGGUGGGGCAUGGUGGGUUGGGAGAGUCUCUGCAAGCACCGGGGGUCGCAGAGUAAGGAUCCCAGCG
rnacentral:lncRNA from 1 species